GAAUAUAAGUGUAAUCUGGUUGCACAAUGUCACCCCAUUGAUCACCAGGGUUAAUUUGGCUGAUUGGGCUGACUAUGCAGGUGUCCCCUUCCUCCCACAUCUCUCUUUGUGCAUCCCUCCAGAAGCUAAACACAGUGGAGAAGGAUGGAUAACCUUCUCCCAUAGAGAAGGACCAUUCAAGGGUAUAUGAGAAACUGCAUAUCUCUGCUAGAACCUCCAAGCAAGUUCUCAAGGUCCAUUUCUGAGGGAACAUAGGAUAGUCAUGCUUCCAAAACUCCAGGCACAUCCAAAGGAGGUGUUACAGCUACGUGUGGCAGUUUGCCUUUCUUA
ensembl:misc_RNA 7SK 7SK RNA